GUUCUUCGCAGUCACAGAAACACUAAUUAAGAAGGUUGGUGGCGAUCAGUGUGCCCGAUGUUUUAGUGUUUGUUGUCUACAAGCAACACCGCUGAUUAGUAAGCAAUCAAUUACAUGUGGAUUUUAGACGCUGUAACGAAGUUUCUAUAAGGGUGUACUUCUUUUGCUGUCGCUUGAUCCAGGCGAAUCUGAAACUCAGUAAGGACCUAAGAAUAACCUCCACCCCCUGAGUACCAGGAUUGCAGAAGACCUUUCAUACUGAAGACUCUCAAUGCUAUGUGUUUUAUGAGUGAUGACCUUUGCCCUUGACUCUGAGAUCACAAUCACAAGGGUCUACCAGAAAAGAAGCUGUGAUUACCUGAAAGAAAACAGCUGUCCAUCAACUGAGCCACCUCCUGGAAGCUUCCCAGACUCACAUCCAUGAUAAUAUCCUAAGGAACAUGACAUGUGUUUUCAUAAAGGAAACAGGAGGAUUCCAAUGGUAGG
ensembl:antisense Gm42439 predicted gene 42439